rnacentral:rRNA from 1 species
AAAGGUUUCCCCUAGUACGGCGAGUGAAGCGGGAAGAGCUCAAAUUUGAAAUCUGGUAGCCUUCGGUUGCCCGAGUUGUAAUCUAGAGAAGUGUUUUCCGUGCCGGCCCAUGUACAAGUCCCUUGGAACAGGGCGUCAUAGAGGGUGAGAAUCCCGUCCUUGACAUGGACCCCCGGUGCUCUGUGAUACACUUUCAACGAGUCGAGUUGUUUGGGAAUGCAGCUCAAAAUGGGUGGUGAAUUCCAUCUAAAGCUAAAUAUUGGCGAGAGACCGAUAGCGAACAAGUACCGUGAGGGAAAGAUGAAAAGCACUUUGGAAAGAGAGUUAAACAGUACGUGAAAUUGUUGAAAGGGAAACGAUUGAAGUCAGUCAUGCUCUUUGGACUUACUUUCCUUGAGUGGGGUCAACAUCAGUUUUGAUCGAUGGAUAAAGGCACUAGGAAGGUAGCACUCUCGGGUGAACUUAUAGCCUAGCGUCAUAUACAUUGAUUGGGACUGAGGAACGCAGCAUGCCUUAUUGGCGGGAUUCCGCCACCUACCUUCCUUGGAAGGUGACCUUAUGGCUUUUAACCACCCCGCCUGAAAAACGGACCAAACUUUUUUUCCUCUUCUAAGUUUUUAAA